UUACCAGUAAUUAAGACAUUGACCUACAUCAUUUGCUGAUUUAUAAAUCAAGCCUUAGCAACUCGCAGUGGGCCAAAACAGCCAUAUGUUGCAAAAAUAAGACUUGUGAUGCGCAACAAACAAUGGUCUGAUUCUAUGUUCAACAUCGUAAAUAAUAAAACUAAAAAAAUAAAGUUAAACCGUGACGCCCUCUAGUGGUUUAUUGUUUUUAUAGUAAUCUGGCAAGACUUCUGAUGUGGAUGUCUGUUUGGCCCACAACAUUUGUUAGACAAUUUUAAUAAAAUGUGUUGCUUUGAGCUGUUUUAAAAAUAUAAAUGUACCUAAAAUGUUACAAAAUAGGUUCCUGAGGUAGCCUGUGUGUAAGUCCAUAGGAGUCCAGGAUGUUGGAUUGAGGGGCAGGGCCAAAAAGAUGUUAAAUAUUGACGAGGAGUGUAAUUAUUAACUAAGCUUCAACUUCAAAUCACUUUUAAACUGGCCUCUCUCGGCCUGACAUAGCACUGCUGACCGACGCACCCAUCUCACCUGUUGACUCUCUCGUUGUGCUGUCACUAUCUUUGCUGUUUUCAGUUCCUUUUCAAAUUUUUGAACAGAUAUUUUUGCUUUGCUUCUGUUAAUUUUUUAAUCUCCAUAUUUAUAUAACUUUUCUUUAGUUUAAAUUAGUUCUCUUUUUUUUUUUGAUACGUCAAGCUCCAAAAACAUGGACUCCCACGAGGAAUAACUUAAGGUGGAACCACGCUUUCCUCUUCCCCCUUUUUUUUUUAAUAGAAAACUACCCUGUAUGGUGAGAAUUUUUUUUUUAAUGAAUAAAGUGCACUUCCUUCCGCUGUCCAGAGGGGGCACUCCAAAGAUUCGGUGCUGACUGGUUGUAACAGCAACUCCAUGUGGAAGGAUUGUGUCUUCCAGUGGAGCUGCUGUUGCGUGCAGAUAGUCACCUUUAUCUGCCUUGUUUCUACAUCACUGCUUCUUUUAAGUGAACAAAGAAUAUAAAGUCCUAAUGUUUUUUAUUCUGAUUUAAUUUAACACUUAAUAUUUGACUGCAAUUGUACAUCUAUACUAGCAGAAAGCAUGUUUAACCCAGGGUCUAGGACACAGGAUGAUGACCUAUGAAUUGACAGCCAGUGUUUGCAGUCCAGCUGCCUGUCAGUUCUGUAGGCCACUGUCCUGUUUGUCCUACUAAACACACACUGAUUUGCACAGAGAAUGCAGGACACUGUAUAAAUCUUAUGUAUAAAUGUUGGGAUAAAUAAACGUAAAACCUUAAUUUAAAGGUUAAGUUUUUUUGGGAACAUGUAUGUAUUUAUUUUGAUGUUGCUAACUGUUAAAACAUGAGUUAUAUUGAUUUAAUUACUGUAAUUUCAUUUGAACGUUCAAUUAUUUUUAAAUCGUAUUUUUUUUUUAAAUAUUAAAUGUAUCUUUUACAAGUUUUCACACUGUUUUCAUCAUAUACAUAUUUCUUAUGUUUUUUUGUCAUAUUCUUUGCAUACAUUUCAUAUAAAAAAUUUUUACACAGUUUUUCAAAAUCAAUGUUGUCAUGACUUAAGGCUCAUUCACACCAACGAUAACAAUAAAGAUAUUUACAAUAACUAUAUUAGCGUCCACAUCAACACAAGAUAAUAUACAGGUUACGUCUCAAUCAGCUCCCUAGCUUCCCUAGGUUAUGAAUCAGUAUAUCGUGUACACGAAUUCAGGCACUGGUAAGGACUGAAAGGACCCUGGCUCACUACACAUUGGGACACUGAAGACUCUAUUUCCGGCGACAUGAACAACAUCACUACUGGUAUUUAUGAACAACAGCAGAACUAAUAUCUUUCUGACAUUAUGAUUUAAUGUUAUUUAAAGUACAUUAUGAUAAAUACUUUUCUUGUUACAUAUACGUGCAACAUUUCAGCUGUAAAUAAAUUAUAAAUGUUAGCUAGAUUAUGUUCAUUACCUGUCUAGCGAUGCAUGUUUAUACUGAAAUAUAAUUAAAUAAUCUUUUGUAUUUUAAAAAA